GACAGAGGUGCCGAGCGUUAAUCGGAAUUACUGGGCGUAAAGCGUGCGUAGCCGGUUUCGUAAGUCGGGUGUGAAAUCCCCGGGCUCAACCUGGGAAUUGCAUUCGAAACUGCGAGGCUAGGGUACGGAAGAGGGAAGCGGAAUUUCUGGUGUAGCGGUGAAAUGCGUAGAUAUCAGAAGGAACAUCAGUGGCGAAAGCGGCUUCCUGGUCCAGUACCGACGUUCAGGCACGAAAGCGUGGGGAGCAAACAGG
rnacentral:rRNA from 1 species